rnacentral:rRNA from 1 species
UACGAGGGGGGCAGCGUGUUCGGAUUGAUUGGUGCGUAAAGAGCGUGUAGGCGGUCUGGUAGGUCCGUUGUGAAAACUCGAGGCUCAACCUCGAGACGCCGAUGGAAACCAUCAGACUAGAGUCCGGAAGAGGAGAGUGGAAUUCCUGGUGUAGCGGUGAAAUGCGCAGAUAUCAGGAAGAACACCCGUGGCUAAGGCGGCUCUCUAGUACGGUACUGACGCUGAGACGCGAAAGCGUGGGGAGCGAACAGG